UUACAGUCGACCAGCAACAAUCACUCACGUUGUAUCACCAACGUCCACCAGUUAGUCACGAGAGUGAACAGAUAAGUGAGUGCCUCCGCCACCCAUUUGAACAUUAUUGUAUGAUCACGUUUCGAUGAAUUAACGCUGCUUUGAAAGGGAUCUCACGAACCAAGUAUACUAAUGGUCCAUAAGAGGAGGUGAAGAACCCUUUUAUGGAUGUAUGUAAGGUGGCGUAUGGUCUAGUGGCAGUGAACAGCGAAACCCUCAGUAACUGUGGUAUGAACACCUGCUAGGGAUGACGGGGAAGCAUUUACCAUCAUGGAAAAUCAACUUUUUACUCCAAAUCACAAAGAUUGGUGUGCUAUCGGCAGCACCUUCGUUGUCAGUUGCAUUCUUUGCAUCGCAGGCAUACUUCUCAUGGUCUACAGAGAUGUCAGCACAGGCGUUGUCUUCCUCUUCGUUGGUGGUACCAUACUAGUGUUGAGUGUGUGCGCCUUCCUAGGUAAGUUCAAUUCAGCUGAUAAACAGCCAGAGGACCGGCCCCCAUCUUACAGAAUCUCGUGGCGACGCUCUUUCCUGCGGCGCAUCCGACAAUCCAACAACCUACAGGAACCUGCACUACAAGUAGACGUCGUUCCACCGGCGACAUCAAACUCCAGCCGAGGCUUGCCAGACCAUUAUUAUGAAUUCCAUCUAUCUGCCAGCAGCCUCCAAGCUGAUGAUAGAAAUGCGUUGGGAUUUAUGCCUCAUACCAGACAAACACGAUCUCUCAAUAAUCUCAUAGAUCCCCCGAGUUACGAAGAUGUCUUGACAACCAUGGACGAAACAGCAAAACGCAAACUGAAAUCAGAGCUGUGUUUAGCCUCCUCUCGCUUUUAGCAUCGCUGACAUCAAGUUUGAGAGGGACAAGUGACAUCUAAAUAAAUCCGAAAUUAUCAUACUUUUCUAUUAAUUUAUUUUUCAUUACCCUCCUUUCCUGAUUUUGUCAGUUAUAUAAAAAAAAAAAUAGUCGUAUAUCACUUGAUCAUUGGUAUUAGUAGUACAAUUUCCUCAGCGUCACAUAACUGACCGGUGCUUGCAUCACGACCUUCACAACCAUAACUAUAUCAGGGGCGUAGCUAGAGGGUGGUCCAUAGGGUCUAGGUUCUCCCUUUGCUCAAUUAAAUUUAAUUAUGCACUUCAGGAAAACGAAAGAUAGCUUUUGACUACAAACGCUCCACAUUGACACCCACAGUGACUCACAGAUUUGAGGACUUGGACAGUCAUACACUGCAGAAUCUUCGUGUAUGAUGUUUUCCAUUUUCUCUCUCUCUCUCUCUCUCUCUCUCUCUCUCUCUCUCUCUCUCUCUCUCUCUCUCUCUCUCUCUCUCUCUCCAUUCCAUAAGUAACUGUAUUGUUGAAUAUGUUUGGAGUUUGCGGGUAAGACACUUAUAUUGAAAUGUUUUCUGCUAUGAUGAGAUUAGAAAAGAAGAAAAAUUAAGGCAAGUUCUAGCCGGUUAUGGUAUUUUCAUCCUGUAUUUAUUGCCCCCAAUUCGUGGUCACUGGUCACCUGCGUUGUUGAAUAUACUUACCGACAUAUGAGACUAAAUUUGCUUAUCUAUCUAUCUAUCUAUCUAUCUGUCUGUCUGUCUGCCUAUCUAUCUGUUUAGUUAGUUGAUUUGUUUGUUAGUUAUGUAUUUAUCAUGUGUGUCGCUUCUAUCUUGAGUCAAGUCAGGAACUGUGAGUUCAUAUGGGAGAGGGAAACUUAAGACUUCACCACGACGAUGUAACUUGCCAUGGUGAGUAUGGGGAGUGCAUGUGUACGUUACCUACUACCUCCAUAACCUGAACCGCGUAAUGCUUAUUGCUGGGGAUCAACAAUGUCGAAAAAAUAAAAAUAAAAUAUUUGAUGGAUGGACAGUGGUUUUGUAUACAGUGACAUACACACACACACAAAUAAUUGUGUGUGUGUGUGUGUGUGUGUGUGUGUGUGUGUGUGUGUGUGUGUGUGUGUGUGUGAAGAGAGAGAGAGAGAGAGAGAGAGAGAGAGAGAGAGAGAGAGAGAGAGAGAGAGAGAGAGAGAGAGAGAGAGAGAGAGAGAGAGAGAGAGAGAGAGAUAAUUAUGUUAAUAUAGUAUUUUUCAUCCAAAAUAGUUUAUCUUAGCUCCUAAAAUCUAUGUAUUUUUAGGUCUAGCCCCUCCACUCCAGGAAAAUCUCGGCUACGUAUAUGACUAUAGUCUAGAUUUGUCAAUCCUUAAUGGAUGCUUGAUGUAAUUUCGAUCUGUAACUUGUAUGAAGUAUUAUGAAUAUAUACCCAUGAGAUACCGACUGCGAUCGACAUACUACCUGAAAGUCUAGCCUCCACACAUCCACCCCACACAUUGGCAGCACAUUAUACCAACACAAUACAUUCUGCAUUACGAGCUGUUUCAAAUGUCUACUUUCAUUUCCUUUGUCACACCUGAAGUUGAAGAGAAGAGGCGAUGAAUUAGAAGUUUCAGUCAUUGAUGAUGAAAAACGUUAAACGCAAGGAACUGUACUGUUUGCUCAGAUGUAUAUUGUUGGAUGUGAGAGACUUAUGAAUAUGUUAAAAAUAUGUUUCUUCUAAUAAGUUCUUUUUAUUAUUAAAACUGUAUAUACUUGUUAUCGCCACUUUCUUGGGGCGAUCAGUGCAGGAUAAUGAGACCCAUUUCACGCUGACUCUAUGUAUUGAAUCGGUCAAAACCUGGGAAUAUGAACAAGUUCUCAUAAAGACAAAUAUAUAUUGGUAACUUAACAGUUUGAGCUUUACGGAAAUAAGAUUAUAGGUUUACGUUACUACAUACAUUGGUAACUUAACAGUCUCAGCCUUACAGAAUAAGAUUACAAAUUGUGCUACCGCACACUCUUACAUAAACAGGACAUAUAUGUCACACUGAGUACGUUGUAGUCAAGACACUCACGUGUUGGCGGGUCAUUUAACUCCUGUAGACUGGAAGUCACUCUCAAUGCGAGACGCUCGUUCACGACGUCUGCUCCCCUCUACAGUAUACCAGCUUCUGCCCCAGGGCAGGGCAGAGUUGGGUGUCCCCUACACAUGUUUCUUGUGUGGAGUCUUUGAAGUCCCUAUCUGACUUUCAUUAACCCGGCCGAGGCUAACUUUAUCAGGUCAGCAAAAUAUCUUCUUUCCAUCCCAUCCACUACCAUCCACAGUGCUCUCUCUCUCUCUCUCUCUCUGGCAGUAACAAUGCUUUGUAUGCAUAUUAUGCAAAAUGUAGAACACCUCGUGAACUCAAGUGGGUACGGGUUUGGUGACAUCACAGGAGUUGCUGCUUUUGAGAUGUCUCGCUUGCUGCACGAGCCGAGGACAAAGUUGUGGCUACCAACAUUCAAAUGGCCGACAAACGGCAGCUCUUAUCCUGCCACGUUUGUCCUGAGAGACUCCAAGGCGACUUUUUUACGGCCCAUACAGACCUGCAGAUGACCCUCACCCUGAGGAGCAACAACGCAUGUGACCCUAGGAGCCAGUUCUUCUAGGGGGUGACAAGUGCGUCCUGAAGCAGUGCAUGUGACAACAUCAAUGACUGCAGUAGUGGAGAGAGUGUCUUCCAAGACCGCCUGCAACUUCCUGUUAAUCUCCAGGGAGAGCUCAAGAGUCAUGGUACCGUCCCGAGGUGCUGAUCCAUACACUGAUGCCAUGAUACCACCAUGCCGCAUUAACUCAGCCUAGGAAAUGACAAAGUGGAUUUUAAUUUGUAUAAAUUCUAUGCUUAUAUAUAUAUAUAUAUAUAUAUAUAUAUAUAUAUAUAUAUAUAUAUAUAUAUAUAUAUAUAUAUAUAUAUAUUAAUAAGAAUAUAUAAGAAUCAAUAAGUACCUUAAGAAAGUAUACUUUGGAAUUGCAAUAGUAUUUGAUUAUGCAACCAGUGUUGAAGGACACACCUGUUUCUUUGAACCUGGUGGUAUCCUAGUAGCAGCAUUGGAAGACUGAUGUAAAAUUGUUAUUAAUAAACUGAAAGUUAGGUUGAUUUCAUAAUUCAUUAAGUAAAUUUAUCCCUUGGAUGAUGAAUUUUACACAAUACCUGGAUUAACAAGGCAAGUUUCUCAUUACAGGUGAUUUAAAUUAAUGCAUAGAUCUUCACAUUUAUUUUUGUCUUUGCUGACUGUAUGUAUGUGUGUGUGUGUGUGUGUGUGUGUGUGUGUGUGUGUGUGUGUGUGUGUGUGUGUGUGUGUGUGUGUGUGUGUGUGUGUUUUGUGGGGGUUCCAAACUGAGGGAAAUUACCUCCUUGGAGUAAUAUAAAAAUUUUUGGGGAGUAAUAGAGGAGUGACAAAAAAGUGAAGAAUUCUGGAAUUCAAGAAAACAUGCCACUAUCUGGAAUUAGGAUUAAUGUUAACUUAGUAUGUAGUUAUAAAGUAAACCUAUUAUAAUUAAUAAAGUCAAACCAAACAUUAAAAACUAUAAUAUGUACAGUAUUAAAAAGAAGGAAAA